CACAAAGAGGAUCGGCGAUUCCCGAUGGCUUUGGAGAGAUUCUUAAUUUGGUAUCUUUGUUGUCUCAUCCACCCAACCCUAUUCUUCCGCUGCUUCCCCCUUUUUAUGUAUGGAGGUGAGAGAGAGAGAGAGAGAGUUCUGUGUGUUCUUGGGGUGUACUAGUUGUUCUUGUAAAUAUGAUCUGUUUCAAUGAUCUAAAGCCAAAAAAAAGAAAAGAUAAAAAGGUGGUGUUGUGAUCUGUGCUUGCUUGAUCUGAUCACAACCAAGAAUUGGGUUCACAAAGCUACUGUAAGAAAUCAAGGAAUUAAUUUGUGUUUUUUGCAUCCAAGCAACAGGAUUGCUUUCAGUGACGAAGAUGAUUGUCUCCAGCAUAUUAAUGAAUUGCCUGUAUUCUGAUCAAGCAAUUGGCAGCUGGUGAUUGGAGUCAUCCACCGCCUACCCAAUUUUACCCAGGGAUGGGUUGUUGUCAUCAAGAAGCCCCGAGAAACCUGUGAAACUAUCCACAACGAAUCUUCCUGAUCAAAAGUUGCAACUCCUACAGAUCCACAGUGCAAAAGGAGGAAAAGUGGCACGAGCCCUUUGAUUGCCUGUCUUCACGGGAUGCCAAUGCCCCAUCAAGUGGAAAAGCUUUCGACAGCCAAGCCUUUCCGUCAGCGGUGGGUUGUUUCUGCUGCUCCUCCUCCUCCUCGGACAGAUUGUCUUCAUGCAGCCAGCUCCUGGGAGACAUGCAUGCAGCAAGGAGUGAGGAGGCCUGCCCAUGGGCCUCCUUAAGCUGAUGUACAGUAUAUCAUAUACAUCGACUCUCGUAACUUGAAAUUAUGUUCUCAUUAAACUGCAGGCUACAUGACCCUACUUGUGAUCUUUCUCAAAUCUCCUGCACCCGAGGACCCAAAGUCAAACCAAUCGUGGCUCGGUGGGAGGUCGACGUCGUUGGGCGUGUAGUGCGCGGCUGGACUGGGCGGUCUCACCCACUUGGCCGCACAUGUUCGUUCCAUUUUUCCCUUAAGGUCGCGCCCAUCAUCCGCAUCACAAACCUUGGAGGGUCUUGUCAUGUUCGGAAUCCUAGAAUGUAAAGCAUUGCAUUGCAAAUUUGGUAUCUCAAGUGGAACUUGUGAAAUAGGAGGCCAUUUCCAUAUGAAAGAAUAAAGGAUGCAAGGAGAGAAGGAAGUUCGAAGGAUGCUAAAGAUUUAUAUGAGGAAUGCAGCAUAUGCUUUAUGAAGAUUCCUAUUAGUUUGUGCGUGUGUCGUUUGAAUUCGGAUUGGCUACCAUAGUGGAGUGAAGGGAUGAUAAGUAAGAAUAAUUACUCUCUUCUGGUAUCAAAAGUCAAGUUGCUAAGA